UUUUACACGGUUUUUUUUGCACGGUUUUUUUUUACACGGUGUUUUUGAACACUUCCCAGUUACCAUUUGUACACGGUUUUACUUUUUUUACACGGAUUUUUUAUUUUAAUUGUAUACUUUUUUGCAAUAAAAUCAAAAUUCCAUACGUCAACACGUCACAAAUCCAAUUCUGUUAAUAGAAUUUAAUAAAUUUUAAAUUAGAUUUAAACUAAAAAAUACAAAUUAUAGAUUCGAAAGCCAGUGAAAAGGUUGCAACAAUUUCAAUACGUAAACAAAUAAAUGAAGCUAUAUGAAGAAGUAAGAAAAAAGAAGACACAGCGAUUAUUGACGAAACUGUGAAAUGUAUUAUUUUUUUACCAUUCCCAGAAUAGUUGUUGUUUGUUCCUUCUAACAGUAAUAUGUACAUACAUAUAAUACCAGAAAAGUCUAUAACAACAACAACAUUGUAAAUACUCUGUACGAAUAGAUAGAUUUUCAUGUAAAAUAAGAUCUUUUUUACACGUUUUCUAUUUUUUGCACGAUUUUUUUCUUAAAUUGGUCCCAAUAGCGUGUUUUAUAUAAAAAUUUGAUUUUUUUUGCACGGUUUUUUUUACACGUGUAAUUUACUGUCCCAGUUAACCGUACAAAAAGGAGAUCAACUGUAUACAAUAACCGUUUUUUAUAUUGUACAUACAUAUAAUGACGAAUAUUAAGAUUACUCCCCAAGUGAGUGGAAUUUUCUGUGUGUGAUAUGAGCUUUUAAUAGAUGCUUUGUGGAUCAUACAAGGGCAUACUAAUAUUCAUUAUGUUUUCCGUACACUUCAGUCUCUGUGUGAGAUUUCAAAACAAAGUUGUGGUCAAUGUUGUCUUUAAUGUUUUACGAUUCUAAGAGGAUAAGCAACUUCAAAAGCAAAAAUAUUGAGUUCGAAUUCGGCAUGAAAUGGGCACUACCCUACAUGUAUGUAUUUAUUAGCUUCUUUCUUUUCUUUCGAAGCAUUGUCAAGUGUAAGAUUAACAGAUAAUUUAUGCUAUAAUUAAGAGAUUUUAAAACAAAGCAGAUUAGCCGAAGCUGGAUCAAAACCAUAUUGUUUCGCAAAUAUUUUUUGUUUGCACAAAGGACAAUGACUUGCAAAAUGUAUGUUGAGAUCUUAAGUAUACUGCAUACGGUAAAAUAUACGGGCUGAGUGGAGUGCUGAACACAACGAAAUCUAUUAAGUGGAAAAUCGUUCUUCCAUCUGCUUCAAAGAAACUUGUUACAUAUGUUCCUUGGGAACGUAGGAGGGUUGCUAUUGCGAAAUCGGACCAAUGCCACGCCCACAAAAUGGCGAAAACCGAAAACAUACAUACUGCCAUAACUAAAGCUAUAAAACUCAAAUUUGGCACAAGGGAUUGCACUAGGAAGGGGCAUUUUUGGAGUUGUUUCCCAGGAGGCUUCGGCUUCCGCCUGUUCGUUGGGUUACGGCCCUUCGGGGAGUUUCGUGGUGGCUGUGGUUUCUAAACCUAAAAGCAGGCAGAGGGCCUCGGUGUGGAGUUGCAAACAACCGAGUGCCGGACCCAAAGCACGGCAGAGGUUUUUGAUGGGCCUCGGCGCUACCAAGGUGGCAUAAGUGUGUCCAUACCACACGCCAAUUGGUACUGGAAGGUGCAUAGGUAACUCAGGGCGCUGAUCAACGCAUUGUAUGGAUCCGCUUGUAUUUUUGAAUACACGUGAGGUUAGGCAGGUACUCACUUUAAACAAAUUCAUUUGUCUACUCCAUCCAUGAAUAUAUUUGAAAUCAGAUAAUAACCACGCCCACCUCCCAAACAAAGGUUAAGUUGCAAACUACUAAGAGUGUGUUAACUCACUAACGGAAAACGUUAGAAAUACCAAAUUUUACAGAAGAAAUGGCAGAAGAGAG